CCAUUCCAUCCUUUGGGACACUUCACUGAACUCGGGAUGAAGGCUGGAUGCCCUGCCUGGUAGGGCCUGGAUGUCUUAAUUUCACUCCUACACUUGCUCCUACCCUGAAUGUUUCGUUUUGAACAGACACAGUGACAUCCAACACAGCGAGCAGUUGUCUGGCAGUCGGAGGGUUGCCAGUUUGAUCCCGCCUUGGGUGUGAUGAAGUGACCCUGAGCAAGACACCUAACCCCCAAUUGGUCUUUACGAGCUGUGUGAGGGACCAUAGAACUGAAGGAUGAAUCUCCACGGUGGCUGUGAAAUUCAGGUUCAGCUUCUCCAGGAAAUGAUGAAAGAAAAAGAAGUAAAGAAUACGGGAAAAUGUGAAUUAGGCAAAUGGAAUGCCCUUGCUUCUUCAAACCUCAGUUUGAAUGUCAGGAGCAAGGAAAGGAAAAGUGGAGAAAAAUAAGCGAUUGGAAUGAGCCCCAUGUCUUGCACAGAAACGCACCGUCUACAUGGCACUGUGCCUAUCCAACACACAUGUGCCAAUGUCCAUUAGUCUAAAAUGUGUCUGAGAAAAAUACAAUGAA